UACGGGGGUAGCAAGCGUUGUUCGGAUUUCCUGGGCGUAAAGGGCGCGUAGGCGGCGCAACAAGUCACUUGUGAAAUCUCCGGGCUUAACCCGGAGCGGCCAAGUGAUACUGUCGUGCUAGAGUGCGGAAGGGGCUACUGGAAUUCUCGGUGUAGCGGUGAAAUGCGUAGAUAUCGAGGGGAACACCUGCGGCGAAGGCGGGUAGCUGGGCCGACACUGACGCUGAGGCGCGAAAGCCAGGGGAGCGAACGGG
rnacentral:rRNA from 1 species